UACGUAGGGUGCGAGCGUUAAUCGAAAUUACUGGGCGUAAAGCGUGCGCAGGCGGUUCGUUGUGUCGGCGGUGAAAGCCCCGGGCUUAACCUGGGAAUGGCCGUUGAAACUGGCGAACUGGAGUGUGGCAGAGGGGGGUGGAAUUCCGCGUGUAGCAGUGAAAUGCGUAGAGAUGCGGAGGAACACCGAUGGCGAAGGCAGCCCCCUGGGCUAACACUGACGCUCAGGCACGAAAGCGUGGGGAGCAAACAGG
rnacentral:rRNA from 1 species